UCGGUAACGUUGAAUAAGAAACUUCGGGAUCCUGAUAAUUUCAUUCCAACAAAUCUCUCAUUUGAAGCUUCAUCGGAACGGCUAAUUUCUCACCGACGUCGACGAUGCAGAACGGAGAUUACGGUACAGCUCCCUAUUUCCAAUACCCGAAUCUUCAAAACCUUACCCUUAAUCCAAGCCCUAAUCCAGUUCCCACUCCCCCCGAUCGCAACCAG
rnacentral:misc_RNA from 1 species